rnacentral:rRNA from 1 species
GACGAACGUUGGCGGCGUGCUUAACACAUGCAAGUCGAACGGAAAGGCCCUGCUUUUGUGGGGUGCUCGAGUGGCGAACGGGUGAGUAACACGUGAGUAACCUGCCCUUGACUUUGGGAUAACUUCAGGAAACUGGGGCUAAUACCGGAUAGGAGCUCCUGCUGCAUGGUGGGGGUUGGAAAGUUUCGGCGGUUGGGGAUGGACUCGCGGCUUAUCAGCUUGUUGGUGGGGUAGUGGCUUACCAAGGCUUUGACGGGUAGCCGGCCUGAGAGGGUGACCGGCCACAUUGGGACUGAGAUACGGCCCAGACUCCUACGGGAGGCAGCAGUGGGGAAUAUUGCACAAUGGGCGGAAGCCUGAUGCAGCAACGCCGCGUGCGGGAUGACGGCCUUCGGGUUGUGAACCGCUUUCGCCUGUGACGAAGCGUGAGUGACGGUAAUGGGUAAAGAAGCACCGGCUAACUACGUGCCAGCAGCCGCGGUGAUACGUAGGGUGCGAGCGUUGUCCGGAUUUAUUGGGCGUAAAGGGCUCGUAGGUGGUUGAUCGCGUCGGAAGUGUAAUCUUGGGGCUUAACCCUGAGCGUGCUUUCGAUACGGGUUGACUUGAGGAAGGUAGGGGAGAAUGGAAUUCCUGGUGGAGCGGUGGAAUGCGCAGAUAUCAGGAGGAACACCAGUGGCGAAGGCGGUUCUCUGGGCCUUUCCUGACGCUGAGGAGCGAAAGCGUGGGGAGCGAACAGGCUUAGAUACCCUGGUAGUCCACGCUGUAAACGGUGGGUACUAGGUGUGGGGUCCAUUCCACGGGUUCCGUGCCGUAGCUAACGCUUUAAGUACCCCGCCUGGGGAGUACGGCCGCAAGGCUAAAACUCAAAGGAAUUGACGGGGCCCCGCACAAGCGGCGGAGCAUGCGGAUUAAUUCGAUGCAACGCGUAGAACCUUACCUGGGUUUGACAUGGAUCGGGAGCGCUCAGAGAUGGGUGUGCCUCUUUUGGGGUCGGUUCACAGGUGGUGCAUGGCUGUCGUCAGCUCGUGUCGUGAGAUGUUGGGUUAAGUCCCGCAACGAGCGCAACCCUUGUUCACUGUUGCCAGCACGUUAUGGUGGGGACUCAGUGGAGACCGCCGGGGUCAACUCGGAGGAAGGUGGGGAUGACGUCAAGUCAUCAUGCCCCUUAUGUCCAGGGCUUCACGCAUGCUACAAUGGCUGGUACAGAGAGUGGCGAGCCUGUGAGGGUGAGCGAAUCUCGGAAAGCCGGUCUCAGUUCGGAUUGGGGUCUGCAACUCGACCUCAUGAAGUCGGAGUCGCUAGUAAUCGCAGAUCAGCAACGCUGCGGUGAAUACGUUCCCGGG